UUAGUCUCAAACAGGAAGAGGAAGUUUCUAGUCACUAAGUGGCUACCCGACGGAGAUGUGAAAUAAUGAAGGAAAGAUCUGAACUGAGAACAGAUCAAAAGGUUUUAAGAGGCAUCGCAUAUGCCGUUUACGUGGUUCAGAGAUUGUAUCAACUUGUAUUUGCGCUCUUCUAGGUAAGUUAUGCACACGACAUUUGCUUAUGGGACAGCUCUACUGCAUCUGCUUAAAAAAUGCUUAAAGGAGAAGUUACUGAAAACAAAGAAAGAAGUAGCAGGCUGGAGGGUGUUGAAAGAUUAACCAAAUAUCAAGAAGAAUGUAGAACUAAGUUACUGAAAACAAAGAAGGAGCAGACUGGAGGUUGUUGAAAGAUUAACCAAAUAUCAAGAAGAAUGUAGAAUUAAGUUACUGAAAACAAGGAAGGAGGUAGCAGCCUGGAGGUUGUUGAAAGAUUAACCAAAUAUCAUAUCAAGAAGAAUGUAGAACUCUGACUAAUGUCGACAAACAAGGUAAAAAAUUGUUCAAAUGAAGAACUGCAGCAGCUUGAUAAGCAAACAGAAUCUCUGGAGAUAUUGAAAUUACUGCGUAUCUGUGAACCACAGGCGUCUCAAUAAAAUUAGUGGUCUAAACCCUUUUAACA